rnacentral:rRNA from 1 species
UACAGAGGUGGCAAGCGUUGUUCGGAAUUACUGGGCGUAAAGGGCGCGUAGGCGGCCUUGUAAGUCUUGUGUGAAAUCCCUCGGCUCAACUGAGGAACUGCACGGGAUACUGCGAGGCUUGAGUUCGGGAGAGGGAAGCGGAAUUCCGGGUGUAGCGGUGAAAUGCGUAGAUAUCCGGAGGAACACCGGUGGCGAAGGCGGCUUCCUGGACCGACACUGACGCUGAGGCGCGAAAGCUAGGGGAGCAAACGGG